CAACAUCACUAUAUCCCACCCUGUGUCAAAAAUAGCAUUAUGUUCCCCAUGUCCUGUCUGCACUAUACCACAUGCUGGAGGCAGCAUCAACUACUUGUGCGCACCAUGCAGGAUUAAUCCUUCAUUCCAACAGAAGUGGCACCUUAUUGGCAAGUUGGACCUUCUUUUAAAAGGGUAAAUAGACAUUCUCUUGUAAAAAACUGCAAACAAACCAUAGGUUGAAAAUUAGUUCAGAUCUUGGCAGCACUAGGAGCUCUAGUCCUGGCCCAGGACCCCAUUUUACUAGGCACUUUCUACACACGCAUCUCAUUCUUGUGAUUUCAGUCUUUUUUUUGGAACGACUGAAGAGAAAGACAGAGCUUUACAACACUUCCUGCCUCAUCCUUAUUAUGGAAGGACCUCCAUCUCUCUUACUGAGAAGCAAGUUCAGUCGCCAUGACAACAGAAUCUUUUGCAACUGCCAGAAAGAAUGACAUCAACCAAUCAGCCAUCAGAUUGUAAGACAGGGUGUAAAGGCCCUACCUGAUCACUAGCAAGCAAUGAGUUAACUCCAGCCCAGCUUCACUUUCUCCAUGUACAGGUAAUAGGGGAAAGGUAAGGAGGCAGAGCUGACUGCAGGCCAAUGACGAGGCUACAAGAAACUCUCUAGACCUAUAAACUCUAGCAGCCUACAUCAUUUCAUGGUGAAAUAGUGAAGCUAAACACUGUGAGAACCAUUUUAUUUCCACAACCGUUCAGCAUAGCCAUGCUAACAAGUCUGGGUUUUGUAGAAAAGAAUAUCAUGCCACUCACAGCACCCUCUUCAACUGUUGCUGUACAAGACUGCUGAGGCACCUAUUCUAUAAUUCCUGGCACAAAAGUUUCUCCAUAACAGAUGCUUUUCUCAAGUUAGCAAAUUAUUGUUUUAUGCAGUUUUAAUGAAUAUUUUAAACUUUUUUUAAAUAGCUGAACUAACAGCUUUUCUUUUGUAUCCUCUCCCAAGAUGUAGGUACGUACCUAUCAUUCAGGCGAAGGCCUGAGUGAACCUCUCUCUUUGGGAGAGACCAUCCAGUCCAGCCUACAUCCUCUGCUGUCACACAGAUGGUAAUCAAGUAUCAGAAGGGUAGCCAUGUUGGUGUGGAUCUGUAAAAGCAGCAAAGAGUCCUGUGGCACCUUAUAGACUAACAGAUGUAUUGGAGCAUGAGCUUUCGUGGGUAAAUACCCACUUUGUCCGUAAUGCAACUUGCAGGCCAUUUAAAAGGAGGAUGGGAAAGACUAAUGGUGUCUGCACUGCAGCAUGACGUUCUGGCAAGCCAGAGGUAUAGGAUUUCUUAUGGGGGUC